AACGAACGCUGGCGGCAGGCCUAACACAUGCAAGUCGAACGCACCGCAAGGUGAGUGGCGCACGGGUGAGUAACACGUGGGAAUGUACCCUUUGGUUCGGAAUAACGUUUGGAAACGAACGCUAAUACCGGAUGAGCCCUGUGGGGGAAAGAUUUAUCGCCAAAGGAGCAGCCCGCGUCUGAUUAGCUAGUUGGUGGGGUAAAGGCCUACCAAGGCGACGAUCAGUAGCUGGUCUGAGAGGAUGAUCAGCCACACUGGGACUGGGACACGGCCCAGACUCCUACGGGAGGCAGCAGUGGGGAAUAUUAGACAAUGGGCGCAAGCCUGAUCCAGCCAUGCCGCGUGAGUGAUGAAGGCCUUCGGGUUGUAAAGCUCUUUCGCACACGACGAUGAUGACGGUAGUGUGAGAAGAAGCCCCGGCUAACUUCGUGCCAGCAGCCGCAGUAAAAC
rnacentral:rRNA from 1 species